AUUGAACGCUGGCGGAAUGCUUUACACAUGCAAGUCGAACGGCAGCACGGACUUCGGUCUGGUGGCGAGUGGCGAACGGGUGAGUAUGUAUCGGAACGUGCCCAGUCGUGGGGGAUAACGUAGGGAAAAUAACGCUAAUACGGAUUAGGACCUAUGGUUGAAAGCGGGGGAUGGCAAGCCUCCGCGCGAUUGGAGCGGCGGAAAUCAGAUAAGGAAGUUGGUGGGGUAAAGGCCCACCAAGCCAACGAUCUGUAGCUGGUCUGAGAGGACGACCAGCCACACUGGAACUGAGACACGGUCCAGACUCCUACGGGAGGCAGCAGUGGGGAAUUUUGGACAAUGGGCGAAAGCCUGAUCCAGCCAUUCCGCGUGCAGGAUGAAGGCCCUCGGGUUGUAAACUGCUUUUGUACAGAACGAAAAGGUUUCUACUAAUACUAGGAGCUCAUGACGGUACUGUAAGAAUAAGCACCGGCUAACUACGUGCCAGCCGCCGCCGUAA
rnacentral:rRNA from 1 species